ACUAACUGGAGGACCGAACCGACUAAUGUUGAAAAAUUAGCGGAUGACCUGUGGCUGGGGGUGAAAGGCCAAUCAAACCGGGAGAUAGCUGGUUCUCCCCGAAAGCUAUUUAGGUAGCGCCUCGUGAAUUCAUCUCCGGGGGUAGAGCACUGUUUCGGCUAGGGGGCCAUCCCGGCUUACCAACCCGAUGCAAACUGCGAAUACCGGAGAAUGUUAUCACGGGAGACACACGGCGGGUGCUAACGUCCGUCGUGAAGAGGGAAACAACCCAGACCGCCAGCUAAGGUCCCAAAGUCAUGGUUAAGUGGGAAACGAUGUGGGAAGGCCCAGACAGCCAGGAUGUUGGCUUAGAAGCAGCCAUCAUUUAAAGAAAGCGUAAUAGCUCACUGGUCGAGUCGGCCUGCGCGGAAGAUGUAACGGGGCUAAACCAUG
rnacentral:rRNA from 3 species